ACGGCGCGAUCGCCUUACGGCUCAGUAACACGUGGCUAAUCUGCCCUUGGGACCGGAACACCCCCGGGAAACUGGGGCUAAUUCUCGAUAGGUGAAGAACUCUGGAAUGAGUCUUUGCCAAAAAGACGUUUACGUUAUGCUCGUAGGCGUCGCCCAAGGAUGAGGCCGCGACCGAUCAGGUUGUUGGUGAGGUAAUGGCUCACCAAGCCUUUUACCGGUGCGGGCCGUGAGAGCGGGAGCCCGGAGAUGGGCACUGAGACAAGGGCCCAGGCCCUACGGGGCGCAGCAGUCGCGAAAACUUUGCAAUACACGAAAGUGUGACAGGGCUAUCCCGAGUGCCAUCCGCUGAGGAAGGCUUUUACCCAGUCUAGAACGCUGGGGGAAUAAGGAGAGGGCAAGUCUGGUGUCAGCCGCCGCGGUAAUACCAGCUCUCCGAGUGGUGUGGAUGUUUAUUGGGCCUAAAGCAUCCGUAGCUGGCUGAGUUAGUCCCUUGUUAAAUCCACCGAAUUAAUCGUUGGAUUGCGGGGGAUACUGCUCGGCUAGGGGACGAGAGAGGCAGACGGUAUUUCUGGGGUAGGGGUGAAAUCCUAUAAUCCCAGGAGGACCACCAGUGGCGAAGGCUGUCUGCUAGAACGCGCCCGACGGUGAGGGAUGAAAGCUGGGGGAGCGAACCGGAUUAGAUACCCGGGUAGUCCCAGCUGUAAACGAUGCGAGCUAGUGUCACGUGGAUUGCGAAUCCAUGUGGUGCCGAAGGGAAACCGUGAAGCUCGCCGCCUGGGAAGUACUGCCGCAGCUGAAACUUAAGGAUUGGCGGGGAGCACAAGCGAUUUCGUUUAACCUGCAGACUAGUCCCUUAGUGAGUAAUCUGGAGCUUGGCGUAUUCAUGGUCAUAAGCUGUUCUUGUGAAUGUUUAGGCUCAAUUCCACAACAUACAGCUGAGCAAAGGUUAAAGCCUUGGGGGUUCUA
rnacentral:rRNA from 1 species